CACUUCGGCUCCAACGGGUGAUCCAACCAAAGGAGCAUACGCUUGGCGUUUGCGGCACGAUCUUCGUCCGUAUAACGUGCCGCCCGCCGUCGCCGCGCACAUUCCCGCUUCGGUUCACAACGGUGUUCCUCGUAGGCGCGCUGUUCUUCCGCAGUC
rnacentral:lncRNA from 1 species